AUGCACGCUGGCGGCGUGCCUAAUACAUGCAGGUCGAGCGAACAGAUAAGGAGCUUGCUCCUUUGACGUUAGCGGCGGACGGGUGAGUUACACGUGGAUAACCUACCUAUAAGACUGGGAUAACUUCGGGAAACCGGAGCUAAUACCGGAUAACAUAUUGAACCGCAUGGUUCAAUAGUGAAAGGCGGCUUUGCUGUCACUUAUAGAUGGAUCCGCGCCGUAUUAGCUAGUUGGUAAGGUAACGGCUUACCAAGGCAACGAUACGUAGCCGACCUGAGAGGGUGAUCGGCCACACUGGAACUGAGACACGGUCCAGACUCCUACGGGAGGCAGCAGUAGGGAAUCUUCCGCAAUGGGCGAAAGCCUGACGGAGCAACGCCGCGUGAGUGAUGAAGGUCUUCGGAUCGUAAAACUCUGUUAUCAGGGAAGAACAAAUGUGUAAGUAACUGUGCACAUCUUGACGGUACCUGAUCAGAAAGCCACGGCUAACUACGUG
rnacentral:rRNA from 1 species